AUGGCGACCGGCGCACGGGUGAGUAACACGUAUCCAACCUGCCGAUGACUCGGGGAUAGCCUUUCGAAAGAAAGAUUAAUACCCGAUGGCAUAGUUCUUCCGCAUGGUGGAACUAUUAAAGAAUUUCGGUCAUCGAUGGGGAUGCGUUCCAUUAGGUUGUUGGCGGGGUAACGGCCCACCAAGCCUUCGAUGGAUAGGGGUUCUGAGAGGAAGGUCCCCCACAUUGGAACUGAGACACGGCCCAGACUCCUACGGGAGGCAGCAUG
rnacentral:rRNA from 1 species